AGUCGAGCGAAUCUGAGGGAGCUUGCUCCCAAAGAUUAGCGGCGGACGGGUGAGUAACACGUGGGUAACCUGCCUGUAAGAUUGGGAUAACUCCGGGAAACCGGAGCUAAUACCGGAUAACAUUUUGAACCGCAUGGUUCAAAAUUGAAAGAUGGUUUCGGCUAUCACUUACAGAUGGACCCGCGGCGCAUUAACUAGUUGGUGAGGUAACGGCUCACCAAGGCAACGAUGCGUAACCGACCUGAAAGGGUGAUCGGCCACACUGGGACUGAAACACGGCCCAAACUCCUACGGGAGGCAGCAGUAAGGAAUCUUCCGCAAUGGACGAAAGUCUGACGGAACAACGCCGCGUGAACGAUGAAGGCCUUCGGGUCCUAAAGUUCUGUUGUUAGGGAAAAACAAGUACCAAAAUAACUGCUGGUACCUUGACGGUACCUAACCAGAAAGCCACGGCUAACUACGUGCCAGCAGCCGCGGUAAUACGUAAGUGGCAAGCGUUGUCCGGAAUUAUUGGGCGUAAAGCGCGCGCAAGCGGUUUCUUAAGUCUGAUGUGAAAGCCCACGGCUCAACCGUGGAGGGUCAUUGGAAACUGGGGAACUUGAGUGCAAAAGAAGAGAGUGGAAUUCCACGUGUAGCGGUGAAAUGCGUAAAGAUGUGGAGGAACACCAGUGGCGAAGGCGACUCUCUGGUCUGUAACUGACGCUGAAGCGCGAAAGCGUGGGGAGCGAACAGGAUUAGAUACCCUGGUAGUCCACGCCGUAAACGAUGAGUGCUAAGUGUUAGAGGGUUUCCGCCCUUUAGUGCUGCAGCAAACGCAUUAAGCACUCCGCCUGGGGAGUACGGUCGCAAGACUGAAACUCAAAGGAAUUGACGGGGGCCCGCACAAGCGGUGGAGCAUGUGGUUUAAUUCGAAGCAACGCGAAGAACCUUACCAGGUCUUGACAUCCUUCGCUACUUCUAGAGAUAGAAGGUUCCCCUUCGGGGGACGAAGUGACAGGUGGUGCAUGGUUGUCGUCAGCUCGUGUCGUGAGAUGUUGGGUUAAGUCCCGCAACGAGCGC
rnacentral:rRNA from 1 species